UGUCCGCCCGAACGAUGGGAGCUGCUGCGCUCUGUGACGCGCGGGGAAACCUCCUUGAAUAUCAAGUAGUUCCAAACCCCUGACAUGGGCAGAGACACCUUCCGCUAGACCAGCUUGUUCAAAGCCCCUUUCUGUACUUAUCUCAUGUCAAAGUUCUUCUGUGGCCUUCACACUGUUUGAGACGUGCAGCUGUGGUCUGAUAAAUGAAGAAGUCAUUCUGAGAGAGCUGCACAACAAAUUCCUGUCAACACCACCUAUGUAUGGCCAAGGACAUGAGGAACACAUCCAGCCAUGAAGAAAUGGCCUCUCAGCCACCAGGUCAAGGUCAUGAACAGCCCCUGAUCAGCUUUAACUGCAGAUGGCAUAGUGGAAACAUCCUUUCUUGGGAAAAAGAAAGAAGCAAGAAGACCUUAGAGAAAAUGUUUCCUUGGAGUCCAGUAUGAGUUUUGCGCAGAACAGUCUUCUGGAGCAGGUAAGUCAGGCAGAGGUCAAACAGAGUUUGGUGGUGCCACCGAGUUUCUGCUUCAGACUGGGACUUCAUAUGAGCUGUUAGGGAUGGAUUUUACUCCAGAUUCCCAGCAUUUUUACUUCUCUUACAUAUUUAAAGCCCAUCCCAGAGUUUUGCAGCUUAAAGACAUCUUCAAACUACCAU